rnacentral:rRNA from 1 species
AAAACCCAACUACACCUCUAAUUUUUAUAUCCUCACAACCUCUUGAGCCUUGUACAGUUGGUUUUCGGUUGGGGCGACCACGGAGCACAACAAAACCUCCACAAUGAACGGGCCUACACCCUUAUCUAUGAGCUACCUCUCUAAGAAUUAAAACAUUAACAUAAUAUGAUCCACUUUUUGAUCAAUGAACCAAGUUACCCUGGGGAUAACAGCGCAAUCCAUUUCAAGAGCCCUUAUCGACAAAUGGGUUU